rnacentral:rRNA from 1 species
UAAGAGUCCUGCCUGCCCAGUGAGCCAGUUCAACGGCUGCAGUAUCAUGACUGUACUAAGGUAGCAUAAUCAAAUGUCUUUUAAUUGAAGACCGGUAUCAAAGGCUUCACGAAGGCUCAACUGUCUCCCCCCUCCAGUCAAUGAAAUUGUCCUCUUCGUGAAAAGACGAAGAUUAAAAUAUAAGACGAAAAGACCCCGUGGAGCUUUAGGACGCCUCAGAAACUAAAACAAACCACCUGAGCUUCUUCCUUUGGUUGGGGCGACCAUGAGAAAUAAAACAACUCUCAUAAGGCAUGGUACACACACCUAAAUCAAGAGCCACACCUCUCGUUAAUACAAAAUGUAACCUCAAGACCCAAUAACAAUUGAUCAUUGAAUUAAGUUACCCCGGGGAUAACAGCGCAAUUUUCUUUAAAAGACCAUAUUGACAAGAAAGUUUACGACCUCGAUGUUGGAUCAAGACACCCCAGUGGUGCAGCAGCUACUAAUGGUUCGUUUGUUCAACG